UACAGAGGUCCCGAGCGUUGUUCGGAUUCACUGGGCGUAAAGGGUGCGUAGGUGGUGAGGUAAGUCGGAUGUGAAAGCUCCAAGCUCAACUUGGAAAUGGCAUUGGAAACUACCUUGCUAGAGGGUUUGAGGGGGGACUGGAAUACUUGGUGUAGCAGUGAAAUGCGUAGAUAUCAGGAGGAACACCGGUGGCGAAGGCGGCUUUCUGGACGACAACUGACGCUGAGACGCGAAAGCGUGGGGAGCAAACAGG
rnacentral:rRNA from 1 species